rnacentral:rRNA from 1 species
AGAGUUUGAUCCUGGCUCAGAACGAACGCUGGCGGCGUGUUUAAGACAUGCAAGUCGAACGGAGUGAAGUUGUAGUAAUACCGCUUCAUUCAGUGGCGCACGGGUGCGUAACACGUGAGUUACAUGCCCUGCAGUGGGGAAUAGCCCGCCGAAAGGCGGAUUAAUACUCCAUGGUCCCGCAAGGGUAAAGGUGGCCGCAAGGCUGCCGCUGCAGGAUUGGCUCGCGGCCUAUCAGCUUGUUGGUGAGGUAACGGCUCACCAAGGCGACGACGGGUACCUGGUCUGAGAGGAUGAUCAGGCACACUGGAACUGAGACACGGUCCAGACACCUACGGGUGGCAGCAGUCGAGAAUAAUUCACAAUGGGGGAAACCCUGAUGGUGCAACGCCGCGUGGAGGAUGAAGGUCUUCGGAUUGUAAACUCCUGUCAUCGGGGAGUAAGACCUGGAGGUGAAUAGCCUACAGGGUUGAUAGUACCCGAAGAGGAAGGGACGGCUAACUUCGUGCCAGCAGCCGCGGUAAUACGAAGGUCCCAAGCGUUGUUCGGAAUCACUGGGCGUAAAGGAAGCGUAGGCGGCGUGGUAAGUCAGAUGUGAAAUCCCGGGGCUCAACCCCGGAACUGCAUCCGAUACUGCCGUGCUUGAGGGUUGGAGAGGUAGCUGGAAUUCUCGGUGUAGCAGUGAAAUGCGUGGAUAUCGAGAGGAACACUCGUGGCGAAGGCGAGCUACUGGACAACAUCUGACGCUGAGGCUCGAAGGCUAGGGGAGCAAAAGGGAUUAGAUACCCCUGUAGUCCUAGCAG